CUGCAUGUGAAUGUCGGCUCCUCAUUCCUCUGCAAGAUGGAAUCUAUAACAUGCUAGAAUAAUAAAGGAGUUCUCAGGGCUGGCAAUGUUUCAGUAGCCGUUGAGUAGUACUGUUUCUCCUACAUUA